rnacentral:rRNA from 1 species
AUUGAACGCUGGCGGCAUGCUUUACACAUGCAAGUCGAACGGUAACAGGCCGCAAGGUGCUGACGAGUGGCGCACGGGUGAGUAAUGCAUCGGAACGUGCCCAGUCGUGGGGGAUAACUACUCGAAAGAGUAGCUAAUACCGCAUACGAUCUAUGGAUGAAAGCGGGGGACCGUAAGGCCUCGUGCGAUUGGAGCGGCCGAUGUCAGAUUAGGUAGUUGGUGGGGUAAAGGCUCACCAAGCCAACGAUCUGUAGCUGGUCUGAGAGGACGACCAGCCACACUGGGACUGAGACACGGCCCAGACUCCUACGGGAGGCAGCAGUGGGGAAUUUUGGACAAUGGGCGCAAGCCUGAUCCAGCAAUGCCGCGUGCAGGAAGAAGGCCUUCGGGUUGUAAACUGCUUUUGUACGGAACGAAACGGCUCUGGUUAAUACCCGGGGCUAAUGACGGUACCGUAAGAAUAAGCACCGGCUAACUACGUG